rnacentral:misc_RNA from 1 species
GUUGAGAGCCAGUCCAAGUCGGAUUGGAUGUGUUGGGGCAAGUUCAGUAUUUGCAAUAUCCUGAGCAGCUUUGUAGGCGGAGAGUGUGCUCUCAGCAGCUUCCUUACGUUCAGCUCCGGUCUUAAAUUCAGCCAAAUAACGAUGAUAAUCACCCUUCAUUUUAAGGUAAAACACCUUAGAAUCGCCAUUAGAAGCUGAAGGAAUGAGAUUAGAAUCAAGGAGCUUGAGAAUUCCAUCACAAAUAUCCGAAAGUUCAGAUUCAAUCUUAGAUCUAUACUCCUUUAUACAUUUAACAUGUUCCUCAUUUCCCCUCGACUCCUCCUUCUGUUCAAUUGAAGAGAUAAUACGCCACGAGGCUCUACGAGCCCCGAUAACGUUUUUGUAAGCAACGGAAAGAAGAUUCCGUUCCUCAACAGUAAGUUCCUCUGAGCCUAAUGAAGUUGAAACUUUCUCCAUGAACUGCACCAUUUCUUCGUAUCUUUCAGCUUGCUCAGCAAGCUUCGC